CAUUAUCUGCCUAUAAAAAAUGAUUUUGCAAUUGUAACUUUUUCCAGUAUUUUAUUGUUAGAUGUUACUUGGCAGGGCAGUUCUAGGGUGAGUGGAUAUCCGGGGCUUAGUCCAGAGACAUUUAUGUAUGUGUCAGAAUACACAGGAUACACUUAGGCCUAACUAAAUAAAUAUUACAUUGGCUACGUGGCAUAAGGUUUUUAAAGAGACAUGUAUAGUAUAGUUUAAUUAAUUAUCAUUUGUAGGCCUACUUACAAACUGCAUAAAUAAUAUUAUAAGAUUAAUGGUCUAGAUAGAAAACUUAAAACACAGAAAAAAAGAAAUGUCAGAAAACAUAAAAUGCUUUUAAAGUGAGACUGCAACUGCCAGCAGGUGGCAGCAAGCUCCUGUUUUAAUGUCUGAUUCGUUGAGUCAUUUAUUCAAUCGAUUCAUUGUCUAAUUUGGUGAGCCAGGUCUCAUGAAAAUCUGCAUUUGACAUACUAUUUAUGUGCACUUUUAUGAGAUCUGGUUACAUUUGGCACGGUCUCCCUGCCGCACUAAUAGCAGUAAGGCUUUCCUCUGUGUAUACAUAGAAGUACAAUUUUAGCUGUAUUAUUUGUCCCCUUCAAAAAUCACUCUUUAGAAAUGUUAUGUUUAUUCCCCCCCCCCCCCCCCCAAUUGUUAGACAAAAUGUACUCAUACUCAUACCUCAAAACUCAUACCUCAAGAAUUUAAGAAUAUCACAACCCUUAUUAAUUGAUUUAUGCUUACUAAACACUCAAGUCCAGUGUAACGAGAUAAAGAAUAUGCAGAUAUAAUAAAAAUAAAUAAACAAUAAUAAAAUAAAAUUGUGUGUGAGAUUUGUGCUUAUGUAUGAUUUUUCUCAGUCAGAUUCACAGUGGUGUCAACCCAAUGUUUUUAACCUAGAGUGUAGGCUUGGUGGAUAAAGAAACCAGAUAGGGCACAUUUUACCCACAUUUCCUUUGGCUUUGAGCUGCCAGAAAAGCUCCAUAUAGUCAGGCAACAUGAAAGUUCUCAGUUCUAUGCAAGGAAUGCUAAAAUGUGUCACAACUUACCCCACCCUGUCAUCUAAUGUUCUGUUAGCUGUAGGCUAUUAGCAUAACCAUUUGAAAUUAGCAGUUUAAAAAUGCAUCACAAUUUGCCCUGAGAAUCUACAAUGUAUUUUAAAGUAAGUUACACGAUUUAAUCUGCAACAGUUUAAUAGUUCAUAUAUCUAUUUACAGCUUUGACAACCAUUUAUAUAAGAUUGAGGAGGAUGGGUUAAUAAUUAAAUUAUCCCUGAUAGGUGGAAAAUGUGCUGUUACAACUCUCCCCAUGUUGCAACCAUACCCGGUCUCCUCCUAAUAAAAUGAUUAAAAAUCUAUCAGUAUUUUUUGUCUAUUAAAAUCUAUAUCCGUAUAAAAAUCUAAGAAUAUCAUCUAAAAUCAAAGAGUAUUUGCCGGUAGUGCGUUUGACUGAGGGACUUUUGUAUUAAAAUCAGUGGAGGACGGGUUGGAGACGUAUCCGGAAGUCGAGCGACAAAAGGCAGGAUGCUUUAUAACUGAGCAUUUCCUAAUAAUAUUAACUUAUUUAGAUCUAAUAAAUAAGCACGUGCUAGUUAUUUAAAUAAAAUAUGACGCUGCGUCAAAGAGCUUAAAUCUUGCAAUUUUGGAAGUGAAACUCUUUAGGCACAAUACCCUGAACACUAUUUAGGCUACUGAAAAGUUUCUUCAGUAACAGAGCUGUGGCGAUGGAGCAGCAGAAUGUAGUGGAGGCGGCUGGAGAGAGGGAGUCAGAUGCGGCAGAUGUGAUCGCGGAGCAGCCGUCCCUCUCUUUUCCAGAGGUGUUCCGCAUGAUUCAAGCAGGAGAGGAGGUUCCUGGACUCCAAAAGCUGGACAUAAAACCUUGUAAUGUACAGCCCACGGUUUCUCAAAUGCCCAGAAAGUCUAAACCAUGGGAAAAAUGAUUGCUUCCUAAUUCUAAAUUGUGGACUGAUUUACAACAUAUUUUGCUUUUAUUCAAGUCACAAAUUAAGUACUUUUUUUUUCAAGUAAAUUAUUUUAAUACAUAGCAAAAGCGGGAUGCUGAAUGGAAAAUAAAGCAUGCCUAACUUUUUCUGAUUUUGCAUCAAAAGCUGCCUGAAGAUGGUGGUAUUUGCAGCUCAACAGCUUUGGCCAGUUAAGACAAACCCAAAGCCUCUCAUGACUGUCAAGUGGUUCAUCAUGGUCUCAUGUGCUUGUGAAAGGGAAAUGCAAAAGGUUGACACACAUCCUGCUUCAGAGCUUAUUAGAGGAAGUGAACUUCACUCACAACUGGUCAACUAGCAGUCAAAUGUACAGAUCAGAAACUAGAUAACGCAUACCCGACUGCUGUAUUUUAUUUUUUUUAACUACAGAAUGAAUGGAUCAGAAUAGUUUGCUUAUGUUUUAAUAAAAGUUUAGUCACUGGCAAGUCAGAACUCAGUGAUCCGCUUUAUAUAAACAGCCUUUGAUAAGUACUUUAUUUGUCUUUCACAAAAAUAAUUUUGUUUUGAUGGUCAAUAAAAAGCUGAAAUUUAAA